CCUUCGAUAGCUCAGUUGGAAGAGCGUGAGACUGUAAAUCUCAAUGUCGCUGGUUCGAUCCCGGCUCGAAGGA
rnacentral:tRNA from 1 species